rnacentral:rRNA from 1 species
CACCGGCGGCUCGAGUGGUGGCCACUUUUAUUGGGUCUAAAGCGUCCGUAGCCGGCUUGGCAAGUCCCCUGGGAAAUCUGGCGGCUUAACCGUCAGGCGUCCAGAGGAUACUGCCAGGCUUGGGACCGGGAGAGGUGAGAGGUACCUCAGGGGUAGGGGUGAAAUCUUGUGAUCCCUGAGGGACCACCAGUGGCGAAGGCGUCUCACUAGAACGGGUCCGACGGUCAGGGGCGAAAGCUGGGGGCACGAACCGG